rnacentral:pre_miRNA from 1 species
AGUGGAUGUACCCUCGGUUCGAUGUUUCUUUACUAUCAUCACCGGGUAUACAUUCAUCAA